rnacentral:lncRNA from 1 species
UCUGGACAGCAACAAUGACCCCAGUCACUCCCACCCCAAAGCCAGGGAAACAUCAUCUUGUCACCUCUGGAUUUCUCCUCACCCCCUUGGGUUAAAGCUGAGCAGACAGGGUGGCACUUCUGAAUUCAGAGGCUGCAAUGAGCUGAGAAAAACAAGCAUCUGUGGCCCCCUCCAGGACCCACCAAGUAGAGGGGAUGUUGCCCCGGGUGCUGCAGGAGAUGAGAAACAACACUGAGACUCAGCCGGGUUACGUAAAACAUCCAAAGCUAUGCAGCAGGCUGAUGGCCAGCUGAGACCUAAAUUUAGGCCUCACUGACUCCUACCUUGGGCAUGUAAGCACCAGUUGGAUCAGAUACACCAGGGAAACUGAGGCCCAGAAAGGGAUGUGAUCUGCCCGAUUGUGCAGAAUUCAGAGCCCAGCUGGAACCUGAAUGUCCUGACCCCCCAUCCAGUGCCCCCCUUCCUACUCUAUGCUGCCUCUCGGGUGACACACACAGCAGCAAGUGAGCCCUGCAGACAGAGACAUUCUAGAACCCAGGCCUGGGACCAGUGCUCAGGAGCCAUACUCUCAGCUAGAUUGCCUUCAGCCUGCCAGGAGGAGGAGCAGCCCAGUCCAGACUGAAAGCCUCCAAGGAGGAAGUUCUACCGGCUUCUCCAUGCCUCCAAACCCACUGUACCUUGUGCAUUCCAUCUGGAAUUUUCUUCUGUUGAAAGGAAGGUGCUGGGUGGGAGGAGGAGGGAGAGGAUCAGGAAAAAUAACUAAUAAAUACUAGGCUUAAUAUCUGA